UGGGAACCUUCCCUAUGGUUCGGAAUAGCCCAGGGAAACUUGGGGGUAAUACCGGAUAAGCCCUUCGGGGGAAAGAUUUAUCGCCAUUGGAUGGGCCCGCGUCGGAUUAGCUAGUUGGUGAGGUAACGGCUCACCAAGGCGACGACGGGUAGCUGGUCUGAGAGGAUGGCCAGCCACAUUGGGACUGAGACACGGCCCAGACUCCUACGGGAGGCAG
rnacentral:rRNA from 1 species